UACAGAGGGUGCGAGCGUUAAUCGGAAUUACUGGGCGUAAAGGGCGCGUAGGCGGCCUUCUAAGUCAGACGUGAAAUCCCCCGGCUCAACUGGGGAACUGCACGGGAAACAGCAGGGCUUGAGUUCGGGAGAGGGAAGCGGAAUUCCGGGUGUAGCGGUGAAAUGCGUAGAUAUCCGGAGGAACACCGGUGGCGAAGGUGGCUUCCUGGACCGAUACUGACGCUGAGGCGCGAAAGCUAGGGGAGCAAACGGG
rnacentral:rRNA from 1 species